rnacentral:rRNA from 1 species
UACAGAGGUCCCAAGCGUUACUGAGAAUCACUGGGCUUAAAGGGUGCGUAGGUGGUCCGUUAAGUCAGUUGUGAAAUCCCCGGGCUCAACCCGGGAAAUGCUUCUGAUACUGGCGGACUUGAGGCCAGUAGGGGUCACUAGAACUGACGGUGGAGCGGUGAAAUGCGUAGAUAUCGUCAGGAAUGCCGGUGGUGAAGACGGGUGACUGGGCUGGUUCUGACACUGAGGCACGAAAGCGUGGGGAGCGAACGGG